AUGACCCUGAAAGGAAGAAGAAGAAGAGGAAGAAGAAGAAGAAGAAGAAGAAGAAGAAGAGGAGGAGGAGGAGGAGGAGGAGGAGGAGGAACUGUUCUGGAACAAGCAUGCUAUAGGUAUGCAUGUACACGCACCCCUUCUAGAACAGUGUUAACUGAGCAAUAGUAGAACAGUGCCUGGGUUCACCAAAGUGACCACAAAUUGCUAUUUGUGCCAGGACAAAACAACAACAGUGCUUGGACCUGGAGCUGGAAAGCCAAGACCUCAGUGAUGAACAGGUGCCUGGAAAUGCUUAGGGGCCAGAUGAAAUUAAGCUGGUGGCAGUUGGCAGACCAAAUCUGGUCCUGCUCCCCACUCAAAAAAAAUGAUAGCUUGGUUAGUUAGAGUGUGGUGCUGAUAACAUCAAGGUUGCAGGUUUGAUCCCUGUAUGAGACAGCUGCAUAUUCCUGCAUUGCAGGGGGUUGGACGAGAUUAUUCCCUGGGUCCCCACUCUAAAGUUCUAUGAUUCUAUGACUGAUCUGAUGACUGGGGAAGCACAGAAUUUGAAUCCUUCUCAGGUCACUGGACUACGUGGAGAGGUAUGA
rnacentral:lncRNA from 1 species